rnacentral:lncRNA from 1 species
CAGCGCUUCUCCCGUAACUGCCCCGUGGAGAUGCUGUUGAGUGACACGAAACACUUUUUCUCCUGACAGGAUUAGCAAGCCAUCUCUCCACACUGCCCAGCUUCCCCUCUGCCUCCACCAGCUCUCUCCAUGUGGCCAAAGAGGUGGUUAUUCAAUCCAUGAAGUAUGGGACGACCCAUAUUCACAUUAUCCCAAAGGAAGCUCUUAGAAAGAACUGUGACCUCUUUGCACUUGAAGGCCCAUACUCUGCUCUUAGGCUUCAUGGCAGAAAUCCGGACUGACUUCAGAUGAGUGAGGUUAUUCUGUGAAUGUCCUUGUGUGAGACCAGCAGCUAGAAGAAGUAUCCAGUCCAGAAGAAGAGUAUCAUGGUAGGUAUUUCUGGAGAACAUGGAAAAGAAAUUGUGGAUCAUGGUAACAUCUAGACCAAGAGAAGAAAAUGGAAAUCUGUGCUAUAGGCAUAG